rnacentral:rRNA from 1 species
GCCUACUGCCAUGUCACCCUGAACAAGCCUGAUCCCGUCUGAUCACGGAAACUAAGCAGAGUCGAGCCUGGUUAGUAUUUGGUUGGGAGACCACCUAGGAAGACCAGGUGCUGUAAGUG